AUACAGAGGGUGCGAGCGUUAAUCGGAAUUACUGGGCGUAAAGCGCGCGUAGGCGGUCUAUUAAGUCAGAUGUGAAAUCCCAGGGCUCAACCUUGGAACUGCAUCUGAUACUGGUAGACUAGAGUUUUGGAGAGGGAAGUAGAAUUUCAGGUGUAGCGGUGAAAUGCAUAGAGAUCUGAAGGAAUACCAGUGGCGAAGGCGACUUCCUGGCCAAAAACUGACGCUGAGGUGCGAAAGCGUGGGUAGCAAACGGGAUUAGAUACCCUUGUAGUCC
rnacentral:rRNA from 1 species